rnacentral:rRNA from 1 species
GAUGAACGCUGGCGGCGUGCCUAAUACAUGCAAGUCGAGCGAACGGACGGGAAUCUUCCUUCUCUUAUGUUAGCGGCGGACGGGUGAGUAACACGUGACUAACCUACCUAUAAGGCUGGGAUAACUUCGGGAAACCGGAGCUAAUACCGGUUAAUAUUUUGAACCUCAUGGUUCAAAGGUGAAAGACGGUCUUGCUGUCACUUAUAGAUGGAUCCGCGCUGCAUUAGCUAGUUGGUAAGGUAACGGCUUACCAAGGCAACGAUGCAUAGCCGACCUGAGAGGGUGAUCGGCCACACUGGAACUGAGACACGGUCCAGACUCCUACGGGAGGCAGCAGUAGGGAAUCUUCCGCCAUGGGCGAAAGCCUGACGGAGCAACGCCGCGUGAGUGAUGAAGGUCUUCGGAUCGUAAAACUCUGUUAUUAGGGAAGAACAUUUGUGUAAGUAACUGUGCAACUCUUGACGGUACCUACUCAGAAAGCCACGGCUAACUACGUG